GACGAACGCUGGCGGCGUGCUUAACACAUGCAGGUCGAACGGAAAGGCCCCUUUGGGGGUCCUCGAGUGGCGAACGGGUGAGUAACACGUGAGUAACCUGCCCUUGACUUCGGGAUAACUUCAGGAAACUGGGGCUAAUACCGGAUAGGAAUCCUUGCUGCAUGGUGGGGGUUGGAAAGCUUCGGCGGUUUUGGAUGGACUCGCGGCUUAUCAGCUUGUUGGUGGGGUAGUGGCUUACCAAGGCUUUGACGGGUAGCCGGCCUGAGAGGGCGACCGGCCACAGUGGGACUGAGAUACGGCCCAGACUCCUACGGGAGGCAGCAGUGGGGAAUAUUGCACAAUGGGCGGAAGCCUGAUGCAGCAACGCCGCGUGCGGGAUGACGGCCUUCGGGUUGUAAACCGCUUUCAGCAGGGGCGAAGCUUGUGGUGACGGUACCUGCAGAAGAAGCACCGGCUAACUACGUG
rnacentral:rRNA from 1 species